ensembl:antisense
UUAGGAAUGUCCAAACUCGGUCCUGGAGGGCCGGUGUCCUGCACAGUUUACCUGCCUGGAAGUUUCUAGUAUACCUAGAGAGAGCUUGAUUAGCUGGUUCAGGUGUGUUUAAUUGGGGCUGAAACUAAAAUAUGCAGGACACCGGCCCUCCAGGACCGAGUUUAGACACCCCUGACUUAAGUAAAUAAUAUUGGCGCAGCAGCAGCAUUGGAUGUUUGUUGCUAGAUUAAUCGGCAAGACAGGGCUGAAAUGCUUACUUGGGCAAAUCUUGAGGAUUGUUAUUGUGGCCAGACUUGCAGGCUUGCUUGGCCAUGUGUAAUUUGCGAGUCCUUUCAGUGAACCUCUUUCCAGACUGAUGACAUGUAAUCUCUUCUGUGUGAAUCUUCAUGUGUAGGUUGAGGUAAUUUUUACAAAUAAAUCUCCUUCCGCACUCAUCACAUGCGAAUGGUUUCUUUCCAGUGAAAUGAGUUCUCAUGUGUCGAAUUUGGGUGUCUUUACAAAUAAAGCUUUUAUUACACUGCGUGCAAGUGAAAGGUCUCUCUCCAGUGUGCGUUCUCAUGUGAAUAUGAAAGUCUUUUUUCUGGGCGAAACCCUUUCCGCAUUGUGCGCAGGUGUAAGGUCUCUCUCCGGUGUGAACUCUCAUGUGGACUUUAAGGGCUGAUGACGCAAUGAAUCUCUUUCCACAAUGCUGGCAGUGAAAAGGCUUCUCUCCAGUGUGAACUCUCAUGUGCGCUGUAAGGGUUUCCUUUUGACCGAAACUCUUUCCACACUCUGUGCAUGAGUAAGGUCUCUCUCCGGUGUGAACUCUCAUGUGUUUUUCAAAACUUGAUUUACUAAUGCAACUCCUUCCACACUGAUCGCAUAUGAAAGAUUUCUCUGCGUGAUUCUUCAUGUGCUGGUCAAAGUUUUCUUUGAGUUUAAAACUGCUUCCGCACUGAUCACAUAUGAAAUAUUUAUCUUUAGCGUGAAUCCUCUUGUGCCGGUUAAGGUGAUCUCUACAUACAUAUCUCUUUUCACACUGAUCACAUGGAAACGGUUUCUCUCCAGUGUGACGGAUAAUGUGAGACCUAAGGGAAGACUUCUGAGAAAAACUCUUGCCACACUGUUGGCAGGUGUACGGCCUCUCUCCAGUGUGAACACGAAAGUGUACUUGAAGACUACCCAUUCGGCUGAAUCUUUUUCCACAAUGUUGACAGGCAAAAGGCUUCUCCCCAGAGUGAAUUCUCAUGUGCAUUUCCAGUUUUUGCUUUCCACUGAAACUCAUUACACACUCAGUACAUGAGUAAGGCUUCUCUCCGGUGUGAAUUCUCAUGUGGAUUUCAAAAUCUGAUUUUGUAGUGAAAAUCUUUCCACAACGAUCACACGUGGAAAGCUUCUCUCCAGUGUGAAUUCUCAUGUGAACUUUAAGGCAUUGUUUUCGACUAAAACGUUUUUCACACUGAUGACAGGGGAAAGGUUUGGUUUUCUCGGCUUCUUCACAUGAAGUGUUCUUUGCCACUGAAGAUGGUACAUCGGUCAUUAAAUCUUGGUGUUUCCUAUACUGAUCUUUCUCUUCAAUUUCAUUCAGUUCCCGAGUCUCUUCUGA